rnacentral:rRNA from 1 species
CCUACGGGGGGCUGCAGUGGGGAAUAUUGCACAAUGGGCGCAAGCCUGAUGCAGCCAUGCCGCGUGUGUGAAGAAGGCCUUCGGGUUGUAAAGCACUUUCAGCGGGGAGGAAGGCGGUGAGGUUAAUAACCUCAUCGAUUGACGUUACCCGCAGAAGAAGCACCGGCUAACUCCGUGCCAGCAGCCGCGGUAAUACGGAGGGUGCAAGCGUUAAUCGGAAUUACUGGGCGUAAAGCGCACGCAGGCGGUCUGUCAAGUCGGAUGUGAAAUCCCCGGGCUCAACCUGGGAACUGCAUUCGAAACUGGCAGGCUAGAGUCUUGUAGAGGGGGGUAGAAUUCCAGGUGUAGCGGUGAAAUGCGUAGAGAUCUGGAGGAAUACCGGUGGCGAAGGCGGCCCCCUGGACAAAGACUGACGCUCAGGUGCGAAAGCGUGGGGAGCAAACGGGAUUAGAUACCCCGGUAGUC